AUCAGACCCAGCCAGGUCCAAUGGACCCUAAAUGACAGGAGAAUCGUGAGAUCACAUGUCACACGAAGAUCCAUCUCGUCAGUCUUCGAGUCCUGCGUUCGUCAGACGACAAACAACAAUGGCGGCUCCAGGAGAGGAAGUGGUCACGGAGACGCUGCGUCUGACAGCAGGCGUUCAGACCACUGGCGAUCCUUCCUCCUGUGUGGCGAUGUGGCCGAGGAGGUCAAUAGGGGUCACGACGCCAAACACCAUCUGCCUCUGACAAGUUGAACCGUCAGCCUUUUCUGGAGAGACAGUACCGACUCAAGUUACACCGACAUACCCGCUAAACAUUGAAGAGCAGAAUAAAUAUGUUAUUAUUCA